UACGUAGGGUGCAAGCGUUAAUCGGAAUUACUGGGUGUAAAGCGUGCGCAGGCGGCUUUGCAAGACAGAUGUGAAAUCCCCGGGCUUAACCUGGGAACUGCAUUUGUGACUGCAUGGCUAGAGUGCGGCAGAGGGGGAUGGAAUUCCGCGUGUAGCAGUGAAAUGCGUAGAUAUGCGGAGGAACACCGAUGGCGAAGGCAAUCCCCUGGGCCUGCACUGACGCUCAUGCACGAAAGCGUGGGGAGCAAACAGG
rnacentral:rRNA from 1 species